AGGUCCACAGAACCAUCAUCCACUCUGAGAAGGCAGGACACAUUCAGCACUUUCAUCUGCUGCUUGGUGAAUGAAGCAUGCAGGACCUGCGAUGAGAUCUCCAGCCUGUUGGCAAUGUCUGCAGCAGCACGAAGCAUGUCUUCAAAGGCUCUGGACUCCUCUCUGAUCCUGCUCCAUAAGACAAAUGAUCCCAAUCACCAGGUGGAGUGAAGGGAUGGAGGAAAGAUAGACAGAGUUCAUCACCAAUCGCCUGCGUGGUGGCGUUGGUGGACAUUACCGCAGAGUAGAUGUCAAAGCCUGAACCCCAGUCUCCACUUUGGCAGAGUGUUGGAGUUGCCAUGGAUACCCAGGCCAGGAUGAAGGGCAUCCA